GAGUGGGAGUGGAUGGGAUGCCCCAACUCGGACACCUGACUCCUCGCCCCCAACCUAUGCUGGCAGCGGGGAUGAGGUGCCUGCAACAUGCCGGCCCAGCUCCUUCCCCCUCACCCGGGUGAGGGCAGGCUGGGAGAUUUGCCCUACGCUUUGCUUGGAUAAGCAGAAGUGGUCAUGCUGCGGAGCAAGCCCGGCAAAUUCCUCAUUCCUCUUCCCUGCGCUGUGCUGCCUGCCUGCCAUCUUUGCAUAUAAACAGUAAACAGGCUGUUAUUAUCCUGGAUGCUUUGAAUAACUGUGGCUAUUUUUUCUCUUCCCAGUAUUCUAAAAAGGCAAAAAAUUCCCUGCGGUUUCUGAGUCAACUCUUUUUUCUCUCUCUCUUUUCUUUCCUUCCCACCACCUCUGUGACCUUGAAAAACCAGGCAGACAAGCUUUCUGGCUCUCUCCCUCCUUACACUCACUCCCCAACUGUACUCCCGCUACCAAUCUCAUGAUUACCCUGGCCCUGUAGCAGGCAAAUUUGGGGCCAAACAUGGCACUGGAGUAGCCCUGGCUUGCGGUGGCUGGCGGGAUCUGGUCCUCUGGGCACCUUUCCCAUAGCCUGCCCAAGCCAGAGGCAUCUGGGGAUGCUUUGACAAGCCUUCCCCUGGCAGUGCAGCCCCUGGGGAUAUGGCAGCUCACACAGGUCACCGGAGCAGGGGUUUAGCAGCUGCUGGGUCCACUGUACGCAGGACUCCGGAUGCUGCAUGUGCUCCUUUCCGUGUGUCCCAAAAGUGGUUGCAACUGUUGGAAGGCGUAUUUCUCAGGAUGAAUCGGGAGCUGGGAGCUGGGAGCCCAGGGAAAAAAUGAUGUUUGACCUUCUUUCCUGGUGGGGAAAAUACUUCAUCGCAGCUCGCCGUUCCACCAGUCGGUGUUUCAUUUUGAGGCAGGCUGGCACAAGUUGUGUCUCUCUGUGGCCCCGCUCCGUGUGUGUCCCUCUGGCUGGAUACUGGGCUGUGCCAUAUCUCCCAGCACAGCUGUCUGCACUGCCCCAGUGUCAGGAUAACUCUUGGGAAAGAUAGCCAUCAGGGCUGCAGAGCCCUUAGGAUUAUGACUUUUCCUCUGGAUCCAGGACAGAAAGUGAAUAAAAGUCACCGUCCCCGAAAUCCCGAUGGGACAGAUGUUGUGAGUGUGGUGUUCAUUCUGUUUUUCCAUCGGCUCUGGUUAGCGCUUGGCAAUCAGGAGGGCAGGCAGGCCUGGGGCUCUGCUGUUUCCGGGCAAUACCAGAGCCUCAUUGAAUCACCACCUUCGACUGUUCAACAGGGACUUGCUAAAAUGAGGAAAACAACGUUAACCUUAAAGCUGCUCUCUUGACCACACUGAAUCUCCUCUAACCUGGGUUUCUGCCACAAAUCCAAAAUCAUGUGUGUCAUCCUCUUCCUUUGUUCAUGGGUGUUAAAGGGAAGACAGCCAUGACCUGAUUGCACAUGGUUUUUAUUUGGCCUGCAGUCGCCUUGUGCCAUUCUGGGACCAGGGAGAGCCAGGCCAUCAUCUGAAGCGGUACCUGGCCACCCCGGAGCCUCUUGCGAUGUCAGUGCAAUGCUAGUGCACAGAAGUCAUUCCUGCACCCGGGACAGAAGGGAAGAGCCAUGGAUGUGGCAAACCACCACUCACGGUCAUACCUGAGAACUGCCCCUUGCAGCCAGUCAUUCUUUUGGCUUUAUAUCAUCCAGGAGGAAUUCCAGCACUUUCUGGUUAUUUCUACUCCCUCCCAAGUUACAUGGGACAAGAACAGGGCACGAGAGAGCUGCUGAUGCCUCUGCCUUGCUUGUGCCAAGCCUACACCCUAGUUUACAAGCUAUACCCAGCAGAUUUUGGUUGCAUGUGAGGCUGCCCCACCUUCUCUCUGACCUGCACACACACAGCAAACUUUUGAGGGCUGGGAAAGGCACAAAAUAAAGAGCACCAUCAUCAGGGUACUUCCAAGAACUUUGCUUUGGAGGCCACGUUGUGACGCCCUUAUUCCAGCUACAUAGUCCGCGAUUUCUCCAACAGUCGUGGCCUUCCAAGAGAGGGCAGAUGCCAGCCGCGUGGCGAGUUGCUCCACGCUAUUCCCUUCCCUGCAUGCCAUUCCUCCCCAGGGAGCCUGUGCUUCUCCAGCUGGCUGCAGACACCAGCACGCCCUACUGACUUCAACCCUGGGGCAAAGCCAGAAGAAGGCUGCCCCCAUACUCAUGUGCAGGACCCCUCUGAGUUUAGCGAUGCCUUCCAGCCUCUUACUCAGCUGGGUGUAUGCCUCACUACCAUUCCCUGCACAUUUUGAAGGCACUUCAGAGGACUCAGACACUUGGACCAGACCGCCGUUUGAUACCAAAGUAGUGAGUGGGAUGGGAAAAGCACUGCACACUGGCAGAGCCCACUGAAACAAGCCAUCAAACCCAACCACCUCUGGACCCAACCACCGGGCCAGCCUGCUCUGCUGCCUCCCCAUCCACAACGGGCAGACACCAUGGGCCACGGGGGUGCUGCAGCUCUCCCGGGGAGCUCCCGGUAAGCUCUCCUCAUGCAGAAUCAAAGCAGCGGGAGUGAGAAAGGAGUUACAGAAUCUUAAACAAAAAAUGAGUUUCAGAGACAAAAACACGAACAGCAAGAGGCAGAAUGUGAAUUUUGGGCUUAAUAGAAAAUGACACACACUGGAAAAUAUUCCCACCCACAUUUUUAUAGCCUUAAAGUGUGAUACUUUUUUUUCUUUUGCAUAAGAUCCAGUAUGAAGUAAUAUUAUGCUGAUGGAGCCCAGCCUUGUGAUCUGAUGGCAGGCACAAGCAAUUUGUAAGCAAUACCAUAUUUGCAGAGUAAACAAGGGGUCAGUACAGGAGACAGUACAUGGCCAUGUGUGCCUAAGCCCGUUUGAGAGUAACGCGUCCUCUUUUCGGGAAGCUAUGGUAAUUCUUCUCCAACAUGACUGGCUGUCCUGGAACUCCUGGCAUGUCUCGAACCCAUCAAAAGUUUAGAAGCACAUUGUCAUGGUAAUGAAAACAUACUCUUUUUUUCCAGCUGUCAAAAAGAAUGUUGAGGCAAACAAACAAACAAAAAGAAACGGAACCAGCAGAGGAAAUUCUAAGAAAAUGAACUAAGCCGGAAAACUAGCAGGCGGCUCCCUUCCCCCUGCUCUAAGGCAGUUUUCUCCCUAACAAACAUUGGCUGGAGACAGGCAGGAAAUCUUUUAGUGGUGUUAGCAAGGUCCUGUCUGCACAGGGAAACACACCAGAAUAGCUGUCGGGCCAUCAGCUAGUCAGCCGGUGCUAUUCCUGAGUUGCUCCCCCAGUACGUGCUCUAUUCUGGACCAAAAGUUGCUUUAUCCUGGAAUAGAGCUGCCCCAGAAACUUUAUCCCAUGAUGGCUAUUUUGGGUUGUGUCUCCGCAGAGUUAAAUGUGUAGCUCCAGCACCCGGGAGGCUCCAGCUCCCGGGUCCCUCUUUUCAUUUAUGCGAUUAGUUAUAUAAUGCACUUCUGUUGAAAGGCCCCUGCUCGUGUAUUCCUAUGUUUUCAUCUUUGUCCUCCUUCCUGUUCCAUUCACUUUUCUCCCCAUCUUGCUUUGAUUUAUAGCAUGUCUGUCUAAUCAGUGGCAUUGCUUUUUCACCCUGCGGUUGUUUGCACACGGCAGUGGGACGGUUGUGAGUCUGUGCCAGGUCUGGAGCUGACCUCUCUCAGGGAGGAGUGCGGGCUGGCAUGGAGGAAGGCUCAACCCGGGGCUGCACUGUGGGGCACUCCCAGCACCCCCUGCCCAGUCUGAGAUCUCUGGCAGGUGUCUGGAAGACCAGAUCUCAAGUGCCAGUCAUUUUUAUAUGCUCUGCUUUCUUGUUUAUCACCGCUUGCAGGGUGUAAGCCCUGCCAUUCUUGUCUUCUAUGCCAGACAUGCACUGGCAGUGCUCUUGGGCAUAUUCCAAGCCAGUAGCAAAUCCUUGACCUGCUGAUGAGACGCAGUCAGGAGGGUGUGAAGGAAGCCAUGCUGCUAAUGUGGAAGCUCCAAUCUUUGCUUUGCAAAGCCUAACAGGACUGUAAGACAGAAGACAGCCCAUGCUAGAAUUGGGCAUGUUUGUGACUGCUUGCAGCUGAGCUCAGGAGAUGACAGAGCAAUAGCAUCAGAGGAUGACAUCUACGACUGUAACACAAGCAUUAGUCUUAACCCUUCUAAGCCAACAUGGGCAGAGCAUUUUCAUUUCGGGUUGACUCUUCCCACUAUUGAUCUGAAACAAGCUUUUUCUCUUCCUCUGCUGGAAGAACCGGGGGAGGUGCCCUUUGCGUGGUGGGUCUGUUUUCUGCGCUUUUCUUUUCCUUCAAAAUGUUAGUUUGGGGCAAUAGGUCUCUCUUCAUUUGGGCCCAGCUCACGCCUGCUGUCCUCCUGUGCAGAGGAACCAGAGGCCAGGUGGCCUCACUUCCUUUGCAUCCUCCAGCUUGCAGAAAAUUUUAACGAGCAGUGCCCAGCUGUGCCAAGGCUGACAACAGAAGAAAUUCCCAGGACUGAAUGGCUGUGGUGGGAGAAUGAGGAUGAACCAGUCCUGGACUGGUGGGCAUGCAGCAGAUUGAGGGAGCAUGACUGCAAUCUGCCAUACAGAUUUUGGAGACAUGAGCUGUCUCCUUGUCCUGUGCUUUGACAGUGGCAUCCAGACCCAAGAUAUGGGCUCUUAUGUGCUACCACCACAUGCAUCAAGCGCUCAGGAACAGUGGGCCUUCCACACUGCAAACAAAAAGAAUUUGUUGGGUAACCCUGGAUGCUCCCUGCUGCUGUACUUCAGAGCAUGACUAGAAAGCAUUGGCUUGCUCAGACAUGUCUAGGUGAGCACUGCCUUUCCUUUCAGGUUCUGCAACAAACUGCUGGUACUUUUCUUUGUGCAACAUCUGGAAACUUUCCACAAGCUGAAGCAGGUAUGGAAAGUAUCUACCUGCAUAGCUGAGCCUCCUGAGAAUAUUGAAUUAGCUUGCUGUCUUCCAUGGGAUAUUUGGUGCUCUCCACUUGUAACAACGCAGUAGGUUGGGAUGGUGUUGCCACAUUCACCACCUCCCUGGGUGCAGAAUCAGAGAUGCUUCACACUGCUGGGUGAAAUGGUUGUGAGCUUCUGGCCAGUUGCUCUCUGUGAGACAUGCUGACUUUUGGCCCAUGCUUGGCCCUCUUCUCCUGAGUACUUGGGUGAGGAGCUGAGCAUGAAGAAAGAGGGCACAGAAUUAUUUGGUGGGAAGGGGUCUAGGAAAGGGGCCUGCUCAAAGAGGAACCCUGGCUUUAUGGUUCAGAGAGGAGCUCUUCUAAGGAAAAAAAAUCUGACCAGAGGGGCUUUUUGUGAUAUGUUUUUUUAUCCAUCCGUUUUCAAACUGCAAGUUCCCAGAGACUAGGAAUAACCCACAGGUAUUUUGUUGUUAAAAAAUCUGAAUUCUGCAAAUUCUUUUGAAACUCUCAACUUUCUCAGUUUCCUUGCAAUCUCUGUGCUUCAUCCUCCUUUAAAACCAGUGGAAUGAGCAGCAUUUCCCUGGCAUAGUAAUGCUGAUGUAAUGGGAUGGUGAAUCAGUGGUGAUCUUUCUGUCUCAACCAUGUUGUAUUAUUGUUAUUGCCUGAUGCUGAAGUUUUGCUAUUUUAAGUCACAAAGCCCUGUACAAUCUAGUCUAAAUAAAUGGCUAACUGGUGAGUAAAUCUGUUGUAUCUGAUUUCAGAUCUAUGAACUAGUGAAAAUUGUGCUAAUGCAAAACUACACUGGUUCAGAAGACC